rnacentral:rRNA from 1 species
AUGAAUGUGAACGGCGUAGAGAGGAAACUUACUGGAUUCUCUAGCUCACGGAUCAGGUUGGCGGCCACGCGAGCGACGACAGAGGAGUUAGAGGAGGAGCGGCCUGCGGCGGCGGCCUGCUUGUGUCCAUCAGAGAAGGAGCGGCGGGCGACGACGGCCUGCUUGUGUCCAUCAGAGAAGGAGCGGCGGGCGGCGACGACCUGCUUGUGUCCAUCAGAGGAGGAGCGGCGGGCGGCGGCGGCCCAUGACACAAAAACAGGCUCAACGCUGCUCGCGCGGCAACAAUCCGCGAUGGCGAUGGUGAUGGCGCGACCUUACGGUGCAGUGCCGCGAGGUCGGCAUGCAGGCAUGAUACGGUGUUGGUGGGCGGCGUUGAGGUUAAGGGCGAUGUGA